rnacentral:SRP_RNA from 1 species
GCUAGGUGCGGUGGCUCACACCUGUAAUCCCAGCACAUUGGGAGGCUGAGGCAGGUGGAUCACCUGAGGUCAGGAGUUCGGGAGCAGCCUGACCAACUUGGUGAAACCCUGUCUCUU